rnacentral:lncRNA from 1 species
GUUGGGGGAGGUGAUAUGAACAUGCCUGAGGUUGGGUAGGAGGGAUGUGAACAUGCCUGGUGGUUGGGUAGGAGGUGAUAUGAACAUGCCUGGAGGUUGGGUAGGAGUGAUAUGAACAUGCCUGGAGGUUGGGUAGUGUGUUGAUAUGAACAUGCCUGGAGUUGGGUAGGUGGUGUUGAUAUGAACAUGCCUGGAGGUUGGGUAGGUGGUUGAUAUGAACAUGCCUGGAGGUUGGGUAGGUGGUGUUGAUAUGAACAUGCCUGGAGGUUGGGUAGGUGGUGUUGAUAUGAACAUGCCUGGAGGUUGGGUAGGUGGUGUUGAGUAGAACAUGCCGGAGGUUGGUAUGGUGUGUUGAUAUGAACAUGCCUGGAGGUUGGGUAGGUGGUGAUAUGAACAGGCCUGGAGGUUGGGUAGGAGGUGAUAUGACAUGCCUGGAGGUUGGGUAGAGGUGAUAUGAACAUGUCCUGGAGGUUGGG